UGGGGAAUUUUGGACAAUGGGCGCAAGCCUGAUCCAGCAAUGCCGCGUGCAGGAUGAAGGCCUUCGGGUUGUAAACUGCUUUUGUACGGAACGAAACGGCGAGCUCUAAUACAGUUUGCUAAUGACGGUACCGUAAGAAUAAGCACCAGCUAACUACGUGCCAGCAGCCGCGGUAAUACGUAGGGUGCAAGCGUUAAUCGGAAUUACUGGGCGUAAAGCGUGCGCAGGCGGUUAUGUAAGACAGAUGUGAAAUCCCCGGGCUUAACCUGGGAACUGCAUUUGUGACUGCAUAGCUAGAGUACGGUAGAGGGGGAUGGAAUUCCGCGUGUAGCAGUGAAAUGCGUAGAUAUGCGGAGGAACACCGAUGGCGAAGGCAAUCCCCUGGACCUGUACUGACGCUCAUGCACGAAAGCGUGGGGAGCAAACA
rnacentral:rRNA from 1 species